CUCCCUGUGCCUGCUGUGGGCCAGGGAAUUCCAUCCUGGAGGUGAAGCAGGAAGGACACCCCAGUGGCUGGGGCCAAGGGGGUGUCACUGCUCCCUGGGGAUAUGUGACAAGGAACCCAUCCUUGGGUUCCUGUGGGUGGGGGUUCAGCUGCCUGGCACAGGAAGAGCCAGCCCUCUCUCUCCACGUGCAGGGAGUGCAGGGAACCUGGAGCUGUCUGCCUGCCCUGGGUAGUGGAGCGGCUGCUGGAGGGGAACAGCCUCACCUUCCUGCUGCUGUGUGUGUCACUGCCAGACACCUCCAGAGAGGAGAUCCUGGGAGCUCUGGCACUGGCUGAGAGGGUGAAGGGGCUGGCCAAGACCAUCUCUGCCACACUCUGGGACCCUGAGGAGGAGAUUGCGGCGCGCCGGCGGGAGAUGCGCGGGCUGCGGAUGGAGCUGCUGGCUGGGCCCGGCCGCCCGGAGCAGAGGAGAGCUGUGGCCCAGCUGCAGAGAGCCCUGCGGGAGCUGCAGGUGCUGAAGAGUCAAAGGUGGGAGAAAAAGCAGGCAGUGGCCAAGGUGCUUGGGACAGCUGAGAUGCACCAGCCGAGUGCUGAGGUGGGCAGAGAUCAGACCAGACCCCUCAUCAGGGACAGUCUGGUGCAGGAAAAGCCCUGAAUCCCAGCUGGGUGCCUGUAACAUCUCCUUCUCUGCCAGGACCAGGUCUCUGCAGGGAAUACAGCUCCACGCCAGCAGCCUGGGACCCACACACCCCCGAGCAGUGGCAGCCUGGAGCCAGCAGAGCCGGAGCGUGGGGCCAGGCACGCAUCCAGCUGGGUGGAGGGUAUGUGGGCACAGAGCAUGGCUUUACACGGUGGGAAAGCCCUCACUCUCCACCUGAACAUCCUUCUUCAGCCCCCAUGCCACACUCAGCCUCCUCCCCUGUCCCCACACUGCAGGACGAUGUGACAGCAAAAGCCAGGGAGGGGACAGCCGAGCUCUGGCCAGCGCAGGGCAGGGGCUGCUGGAGGAGCCAUCCCAGAGCAAAGUGUCACAGGCACAGCCACGGCCCGGGUGUGACAGCGUGAGUGGGAGCCUGCAGGGUCCCUGUGCAGGGCCAGCCCUGCUGCCAGCACUGGCUCCUGGUGCCACCCGAGCCCGCUCUGCUCUCCUGCAGGCAGGGAGCCGGUGCCAGCCGUGCCCAGCCCCACAGGUCCGGCGUGCCCUGGCCAGGGCGCAGCGGCAGCGGCUGCGGGCUCAGCACUGCCGGCAGCUCCAGCGAGAGCUCGGGGCCAGCACUGCGCUGGCCCAGGAGCA
rnacentral:lncRNA from 1 species